UCCCUCGUGGCGCAAUUGGCCAGCGCGUUCGACUGUUAAUCGAGAGGUUGGUGGUUCGAGCCCACCCGAGGGAG
rnacentral:tRNA from 3 species